rnacentral:rRNA from 1 species
CGCCUUGCCAGCCCGCUCAGAAACUUAAAGGAAUUGACGGGGGCCCGCACAAGCGGUGGAGCAUGUGGUUUAAUUCGAUGAUACGCGAGGAACCUUACCUGGGCUCAAAUGUAUGUUGACGUAUUCUGAAAGGGAUACUUCUUCGGACAAUAUACAAGGUGCUGCAUGGUUGUCGUCAGCUCGUGCCGUGAGGUGUCGGGUUAAGUCCCAUAACGAGCGCAACCCCUACCUUUAGUUGCCAUCAGGUAAUGCUGGGGACUCUAAAGGAACUGCCUACGCAAGUAGUGAGGAAGGCGGGGAUGACGUCAAAUCAGCACGGCCCUUACGUCCAGGGCUACACACGUGCUACAAUGGCCGAUACAGAGGGCAGCUACCUGGUGACAGGAUGCAAAUCUCCAAAGUCGGUCUCAGUUCGGAUCGGAGUCUGCAACCCGACUCCGUGAAGUUGGAUUCGCUAGUAAUCGCGCAUCAGCCAUGGCGCGGUGAAUACGUUCCCGGGCCUU